rnacentral:rRNA from 1 species
UACGUAGGUGGCAAGCGUUGUCCGGAAUUAUUGGGCGUAAAGCGCGCGCAGGCGGUCCUUUAAGUCUGAUGUGAAAGCCCACGGCUCAACCGUGGAGGGUCAUUGGAAACUGGGGGACUUGAGUGCAGGAGAGAAGAGUGGAAUUCCACGUGUAGCGGUGAAAUGCGUAGAGAUGUGGAGGACACCAGUGGCGAAGGCGACUCUUUGGCCGUG